UACGGAGGAGGCAAGCGUUAUCCGGAAUUAUUGGGCGUAAAGCGUCCGUAGGUGGCUCUUCAAGUCUGCUGUCAAAGAGUGGGGCUUAACCCUGCAAAGGCAGUGGAAACUGAAAGGCUAGAGAGCCGUAGGGGUAGAGGGAAUUCCCGGUGUAGCGGUGAAAUGCGUAGAGAUCGGGAAGAACAUCGGUGGCGAAGGCGCUCUACUGGACCACAACUGACACUCAGGGACGAAAGCUAGGGGAGCGAAUGGG
rnacentral:rRNA from 1 species